rnacentral:rRNA from 1 species
UGGGGAAUAUUGCACAAUGGGCGAAAGCCUGAUGCAGCAACGCCGCGUGAGUGAUGAAGGUCUUCGGAUUGUAAAGCUCUGUCUUUUGGGACGAUAAUGACGGUACCAAAGGAGGAAGCCACGGCUAACUACGUGCCAGCAGCCGCGGUAAUACGUAGGUGGCGAGCGUUGUCCGGAUUUACUGGGCGUAAAGGGUGCGUAGGCGGAUGUUUAAGUGAGAUGUGAAAUACCCGGGCUUAACUUGGGUGCUGCAUUUCAAACUGGAUAUCUAGAGUGCAGGAGAGGAGAAUGGAAUUCCUAGUGUAGCGGUGAAAUGCGUAGAGAUUAGGAAGAACACCAGUGGCGAAGGCGAUUCUCUGGACUGUAACUGACGCUG